UAAGCGGAGGAAAAGAAACUAACAAGGAUUCCCCUAGUAACGGCGAGUGAACAGGGAAGAGCUCAAAUUUGUAAUCUGGCGUCCUUUGGGCGUCCGAGUUGUAAUCUAUAGAAGCGUUUUCCGUGCUGGACCAUGUCCAAGUCCCUUGGAACAGGGUAUCAAAGAGGGUGACAAUCCCGUACUUGACAUGACGACCAGUGCUCUGUGAUACGCUCUCUACGAGUCGAGUUGUUUGGGAAUGCAGCUCAAAACGGGUGGUGAGUUCCAUCUAAAGCUAAAUAUUGGCGAGAGACCGAUAGCGAACAAGUACCGUGAGGGAAAGAUGAAAAGCACUUUGGAAAGAGAGUUAAACAGUACGUGAAAUUGUUGAAAGGGAAACGAUUGAAGUCAGUCGUGUCCGAGGGGUUCAGCCGGUUCUGCCGGUGUAUUCCCCUCGGACGGGUCAACAUCAGUUUGGAUCGGCGGAAAAGGGCAGUUGGAAGGUAGCAGCUCCGGUUGUGUUAUAGCCUUCUGUCGCAUACGCUGGUCUGGACUGAGGAAUGCAGCUCGCCUUCAUGGCUGGGGUUCUCCCACAUACGAGCUUAGGAUGUUGACAUAAUGGCUUUAAACGACCCGUCUUGAAACACG
rnacentral:rRNA from 1 species